CCUCCUUCCCUUUACACAGCUUCCCACAGCCGCCGCCCUCCAGCUCUUCCACAGCUCUGCCUUCAGGGCACACAACACACUGCCUCCUCUGAUGAUGCUCCCCUCCUCUGGGCUGUCCCCCCAGGAACAGCGUCUCUCUGUGGGUAUCUCUGGGGCUCUCUCUCUAUCUCUCUGUGUGACAGAGAGACAGAGACAGGCACACAGCAGCAGGAAAUGGGAACAGAGCAAGGGCUACAUACAGCAAACACGGUGGCCUGCUCUCUACGACCAGGAUAGGUUGAAUUGAGACGCGGUAGGUCGAUUUUUAAAUGACUGCGUCCACACAACCAACCCCGUGCCGUCCACCUAAAGGGCUCUUAAAAUACACCGCUGGACUCCUCCCCGGCCAGGGGAGUAGCGCUAAAAUCGACCUUGCUGGGUCGAAUUUGGGGUCGUGCGGAAGCAAACCGACGGUAUUGGCCUCCGCGACCUAUCCCAGUGUCACCGCUCUGGACAGCACUUUCAACUACCCCACCACUGUCCCUGGACACCUGCAAGGGGGGAGUCUCACGCAACAGGGAGCAGGGUUUUGUGGAGGAGGAAGAGGACGAGGAGGAGAACGAGCAGCAGGCACGCGGUGAAUCCGUUCUCCCCGGCAGCCAGGACCUUUUCAUAACACCCUGGAGCCAAUACCCUCCCAAGGCGGGAUCCCCGACCCUGAAGCCAGAGACGACACCUCUGGUGCAAAUGUUUCUAUGCUCCCGCUAUCAUCUCCAUUCCUGAGGUUAUCGCAGAUUAGAAGGCGAAAAAAACGCACUUGCGACGCCGUGUUUGCCAAGCUCAUGCAGUCCUCCCGCACUGACAGGGCACAGCCAAAUGCAUGGAGGCAUUCAGUGUUAGAGGCCAGGAAAGCAUUACGUGAGCAUGAAGCGCAGAGGCAGGAGGCGAUGCUGAGGCUAAUGGGAGAGCAAACGGACAUGAUGAAGCAUCUGGUGGAGCUGCAGGAAAGCCAACAGGAGUACAGACCCCCACUGCAUCCAUUGUAUAACCGCCUGCCCUCCUUCCCGAGUUCCAUAGCCUCCUCACCCAAAUGCCCAAGAACGCAGGUGGGGAGGCUCCGGGCACCCAGCCAGUGCACUCCAGAGGAUGGCUCAAACAACAGAAGGCUGUCAUUCAAACAGUCUGAUUUGUAGUGUGGAUACAAAAAGCAAUGUGGCCGUGUCCUUCCCUCUUCCCCCACCGCACCCCACCCCACCUCACCUGGACUAUCUUGUCAGUUAUCUCACUUUUUUUUAAUUAAUAAAGAGAGAAUGCAUGGCUUCAAAACAAUA